rnacentral:rRNA from 1 species
UACGAAGGGGGCUAGCGUUGUUCGGAAUUACUGGGCGUAAAGCGCACGUAGGCGGAUUUGUAAGUCAGGGGUGAAAUCCCGGGGGCUCAACCUCGGAACUGCCUUUGAUACUGCAAGUCUCGAGUCCGAUAGAGGUGAGUGGAAUUCCUAGUGUAGAGGUGAAAUUCGUAGAUAUUAGGAAGAACACCAGUGGCGAAGGCGGCUCACUGGAUCGGUACUGACGCUGAGGUGCGAAAGCGUGGGGAGGCAAACAGG